GGUCGGCCGGGCGGUCGCGUCGCGCGUGAGCGCGCCGAGGAACGUCCGGGCUCCACAGGGCAGGGCGGUGGGUAACACCCACCCGGAGAAAUCCGCGAGAAAGUGCAACAGAAAGCAGACCGCCGGCCGCAAGGCCGGUAAGGGUGAAACGGUGGUGUAAGAGACCACCAGGGGCCGCGGUGACGCGGCUCGCUGGGUAAACCUCGCCCGGAGCAAGACCAACAGGGGAUGACAAGGCGGCCCGCCGAGUCCCCGGGUAGGUUGCUGGAGCGGCACGGCAACGUGUCGCCGAGAUAGAUGGCCGUCCAGGGGUGGUUCCACCCCAGACAGAACCCGGCGUACAGGCCGGCCCA
rnacentral:RNase_P_RNA from 1 species